CACGUAGGGCGCAAGCGUUUGUCCGGAAUUAUUGGGCGUAAAGAGCUCGUAGGCGGUCUGUUGCGUCCGCUGUGAAAACUCGGGGCUUAACCCCGAGCCUGCAGUGGAUACGGGCAGACUAGAGGUAGGUAGGGGAGAAUGGAAUUCCCGGUGUAGCGGUGAAAUGCGCAGAUAUCAGGAGGAACACCGAUGGCGAAGGCAGGUCUCUGGGCCACUACUGACGCUGAGAAGCGAAAGCAUGGGGAGCGAACAGG
rnacentral:rRNA from 1 species